ensembl:lncRNA
ACCACUGGGGCCAUUCCUUGUGUCUGGAGUGCAGGAGCUGAUUUUUGACCAAAUACGCCUUCUGCAAGCCAAGCCCCUGGGUCCUGCUGGGUCCUGCUGAGACACAAAACUAUAAAAGAUGGCUCCUUCCAAGGAUGUACUUCUCCCAGAGCAGGCAGCGAAGCAACAGCCCUGGCACCAGCCCCCAGGGAUAUGGAAAGACCAGGAAAUUCAGCGAGGCAGGAUCACAGCUGGGAUAAAGCAAGUGGCUGAUCUCGGUCUACGCUCCUCAGCAGCACAGUGGAAAAAGAGAUCUGGAGAAGAUGUGUGGGAAGCUUCUCCCGGACACAAGCAGGUGACCCAGGGCAGAAGGCAACCAAGUGGACUUUGACUCCAGGCUUGAGGGGGAUCUAUGAGUUUUGCUUGCACUAAUCUGUGAAUCUUGCUUACAGGGACUGUGGCUGCCAGGCAUCCCUGAACAGAAACUGUGUCCUCUUGAGUUCUCUGGCUGGGAACAGUGAACUCAUCCAUCAGUGAACUCAUCCCUCAUCCAGGCAGGCUCAGGUUCUCAUGGCCUGGCCUAGACUUCCCAAUCACCCCACCGCUCACAGUGAGUCUCCCUGUUACUGGGAGAAAAGAACAAGGGAGCUGCUGCUGGAUGGACUUCAGCUUUGUCUUGAUGUGGAGGAGAGCAGGAAUGCUGUCAAUGCCAGGCAUCAGUCUUUCUGUUGCAGACUCCAGGCAUUAUUGGUUUGGGCCCAGUUCCCCCAAGUUCUUUUCAAACCAAGUGGCUGUGCUGAGGCGACCCUGUGCACAGGUGCCUUGCUCUGCCACCCUCCCUCUUUGGCUGCAUGGCUCCCUGCAUGUCCCACCAGCUGUGCCAAGCUGCCGUCUCCAGCCCCGUGCACAGGGCACCCUGUGAGCACCAGGCUCUGAGCGUGCUGCCUCACAGCCUGCAGUGCAGAGGUGGCCCCAGGGCACUUCCCAGGGAUUUCCCACCCACGGGUGCCACCACCCUUCCGGAAGGAAGCAGUCAGCCUUGUUUUGAGCAGCUGCCUUGCAAAUGCAUCCUCUAGCAUGCAGCUGCCUGAGCCAGGACAAAGCAACCUGUGGCCUCAAGGAGAAAAACACAGCAUUGAAAACUGACAGUGCUGCACACAGAGCAAGUGAUGCUCUCCACUAACUCCUGUGACAAUCACCUUUCUGCUUAUCAGUCUUGGUCAGGAACAUGACCUCUAUAGUUUCUUUUCCUGCCUGCUGUUGUCUUUGCAUCUGCUGCAGAGCAGAAAUUCAAGGAGAUGGAUGCAGACCUUGGUCUGCUUGGUGGAAAUACUUCUAGUGUUUUCAGGUUAGAUAAAGGUCUUUCACUAACAAAUCCUACCUGCUGACCCCAAAGCAUGUGAGAUCCUCUCAGAUUUUUUGCCAGCAUUCCUCGUACGUUUGUGUUGCUUCAAACAGGAAACAAUGCUCUUGGAAAAGCUUCUAGCAGCUCCAGAACGGGUGCCUGGAAACUCAGUGAGCUAGUGCCAAUGCAGAGCUCAGAAGUGCUCUUUCCACAUGUGCUACCUCUUGGAAGCCAAGGAGGGAUUCCUAGGGCCGGGAAGAGAGAGUGUAUGCCACCAUGUGGCAGCAGAUUCCCAAGUGUGGAGCUCAAGAGAGCUUCAGGCAGGCCCAGCUCAUAGCUCAGGCUGAGGAGGGCCUGGCCCUUGCAGGCAGAACUUCAGCAAGGAGCUAUGACUUCUGUGCAUGGGCAGGGAGGUGCUGUACAGGCACCCUGUCCCAUCCCCAAAGACACCAGCCACCCCCUCCGUGAAGGUAAGAUUUAUUCUGCAAUUGAGCAGCCCUGGAAUUUACCAUGGAAGACAAUAUUCAUCUGAGAAUUGUGUUCCAGCACCAAAGACCCAUUAUUCACAGUGACAGCCUGCAGAGCUGAAAAUAAACAAAGAACAAAGUCAAAUCA